AGAGUUAAAAAGUACGUGAAAUUGUUGAAAGGGAAACGUUUGAAACCAGUCAUGCUGGCGGGAAAUCAGCCUACCUUCUGGGGGGUGCACUUUCCCGUUGGCAGGUCAGCGUCAGUUUCGAUCGCCGGAAAAAAGCCUAGGGAAUGUGGCUCCUCUCGGGGAGUGUUAUAGCCCGGUCUCCUGAACAUGCCUGAGGGGCUGAGGAACCUCAAGUCCCAUUUUUGGAGCCUUUUGCCCCUGGUUGGUUGGGCCCGGUUAUGCUGUGAGCCUCUCUCGGGAGACUUUCUAGAUGGCUGGGUCAGUAGCUGAUCUUGGGUGGGAGGAUCUCACAAACCCGGGGACGGGGAUGUUGGCACAAAUG
rnacentral:rRNA from 1 species